rnacentral:rRNA from 1 species
GGAUGUGGGAUUGCACAGACAACCAGGAUGUUGGCUUAGAAGCAGCCACUCAUUCAAAGAGUGCGUAAUAGCUCACUGGUCGAGUGAUCCUGCGCCGAAGAUUUCCGGGGCUAAAACUUACUACCGAAGCUACGGCAUCAGUAAUGAUGGGUAGGGGAGCUUCCCAUACGGGUUGAAGCAUGACCGUAAGGACAUGUGGACAGUAUGGGAGUGAGAAUGUUGGCAUGAGUAGCGAGAUGUGGGUGAGAAUCCCACAGGCCGUAAACCCAAGGUUUCCAGGGGAAGGUUCGUCCGCCCUGGGUUAGUCGGGACCUAAGCUGAGGCCGAAAGGC